CGUUGCAAAUCUUGUUGCAAAAAAUAAAAUUUUCGUUUCCCUCCAACAACCAUUAGCGCGGGCAAUGAAAAUUUCGGGGUAAAAAUUUAAAACUAUGAUUUGCAACGAAAGUAUUCGUAUCAAAAAAAAAUUAAUGUAUAGCCACAACAGUAGUUGUCGCAAAAAAUUAAGUCUCGAGUAUUGUAACAACUGUAGUUGUGGCAAAAAAGAUCAAUAUAUUUAACAACAAUAGUAGUUGUUGCAACAAUAUAUCAAAAAAAAAAAAAAAAAACAAACAAACAAACAAAUAGCCACAUUAACAAAAGACAUACAGCUAAUUCCCAUCCUUUUUUAUUUCAUUUUGUUCUUAUUCUAAGAACAAAAAAACCCCAGACCACUUUCCAACUCAAGAACCUUACACAAUUUCAUUUUCUUUCCUUCAUUGUUCUUCGGCGGCGGCUACAGUGAACGACUUCACCAGCGAUGCAUCCUUCCUCUGGCUACACUACUUGGCCUUUGCAUUGGGAAAAAGAGAAUGCUGUUAUUUUUGAAGAAGCAAGUCAAUUUGAUUUUUGGGGAAAACAAUUUCCUUUUGAAGAUGAUGCAUAUGAAAUGUAUAAUGAGUAUGCUUUUAUGAAAGGUUUUGGCAUCAGAGUUGGGAGUAGUAAGAGGCAAAGGGAUGACUCAUUUUCUAUGAAAAUAUAUAUUUGUUCUAAUGAGGAUUGUUAGAAAGAUAACAAGUGUAGAAAUAUUAUGUCCUAUGAGAGAUUUGAUACAAGAACUGAAUGUUUAGCUUUUGUACAGUUUUCUAUUGAUAGUGUCAAAUAUUCUAAUA